rnacentral:rRNA from 1 species
UCAGGAUGAACGCUAGCUACAGGCUUAACGCAUGCAAGUCGAGGGGCAGCAUUGGAGUAGCAAUACUUGCCGGCGACCGGCGCAAGGGUGCGUAACGCGUGAGCAACAUGCCCGUAUCAGGGGGAUAAUCCAUGGAAACGUGGUCUAAUACCCCAUAGUAAUUAUGUAAGGCAUCUUAUAUAAUUUAAAGCUUUGGUGGAUACGGAUUGGCUCGCGUGACAUUAGCUGGAUGGUAAGGUAACGGCUUACCAUGGCUACGAUGUCUAGGGGUUCUGAGAGGAAGGUCCCCCACACUGGAACUGAGACACGGUCCAGACUCCUACGGGAGGCAGCAGUGAGGAAUAUUGGACAAUGGAUGGAAAUCUGAUCCAGCCAUGCCGCGUGCCAGGAAGACGGCCCUACGGGUUGUAAACUGCUUUUGUAUGGGAGCAAUAAGGGCUACGUGUAGUCCGAUGAGAGUACCAUACGAAUAAGCACCGGCUAACUCCGUGCCAGCAGCGGC